ACACCGAAUGCUUGCAUUCACCGUAAGAAGUUGAGUGGCGGACGGGUGAGUAACACGUGGGUAACCUGCCUAAAAGAAGGGGAUAACACUUGGAAACAGGUGCUAAUACCGUAUAUCUCUAAGGAUCGCAUGAUCCUUAGAUGAAAGAUGGUUCUGCUAUCGCUUUUAGAUGGACCCGCGGCGUAUUAACUAGUUGGUGGGGUAACGGCCUACCAAGGUGAUGAUACGUAGCCGAACUGAGAGGUUGAUCGGCCACAUUGGGACUGAGACACGGCCCAAACUCCUACGGGAGGCAGCAGUAGGGAAUCUUCCACAAUGGACGCAAGUCUGAUGGAGCAACGCCGCGUGAGUGAAGAAGGUCUUCGGAUCGUAAAACUCUGUUGUUAGAGAAGAACACGAGUGAGAGUAACUGUUCAUUCGAUGACGGUAUCUAACCAGCAAGUCACGGCUAACUACGUGCCAGCAGCCGCGGUAAUACGUAGGUGGCAAGCGUUGUCCGGAUUUAUUGGGCGUAAAGGGAACGCAGGCGGUCUUUUAAGUCUGAUGUGAAAGCCUUCGGCUUAACCGGAGUAGUGCAUUGGAAACUGGAAGACUUGAGUGCAGAAGAGGAGAGUGGAACUCCAUGUGUAGCGGUGAAAUGCGUAGAUAUAUGGAAGAACACCAGUGGCGAAAGCGGCUCUCUGGUCUGUAACUGACGCUGAGGUUCGAAAGCGUGGGUAGCAAACAGGAUUAGAUACCCUGGUAGUCCACGCCGUAAACGAUGAAUGCUAGGUGUUGGAGGGUUUCCGCCCUUCAGUGCCGCAGCUAACGCAAUAAGCAUUCCGCCUGGGGAGUACGACCGCAAGGUUGAAACUCAAAGGAAUUGACGGGGGCCCGCACAAGCGGUGGAGCAUGUGGUUUAAUUCGAAGCAACGCGAAGAACCUUACCAGGUCUUGACAUCCUUUUGACCACCUAAGAAGAUUAGGCUUUCCCUUCGGGGACAAAGUGACAGGGGGGUGCAUGGCCUGUCGUCAGCUCGUGUCGUGAGAUGUUGGGUUAAGUCCCGCAACGAGCGCAACCCUUGUUGUCAGUUGCCAGCAUUAAGUUGGGCACUCUGGCGAGACUGCCGGUGACAAACCGGAGGAAGGUGGGGACGACGUCAAGUCAUCAUGCCCCUUAUGACCUGGGCUACACACGUGCUACAAUGGACGGUACAACGAGUCGCAAGACCGCGAGGUUUAGCUAAUCUCUUAAAGCCGUUCUCAGUUCGGAUUGUAGGCUGCAACUCGCCUACAUGAAGUCGGAAUCGCUAGUAAUCGCGAAUCAGCAUGUCGCGGUGAAUACGUUCCCGGGCCUUGUACACACCGCCCGUCACACCAUGAGAGUUUGUAACACCCAAAGCCGGUGG
rnacentral:rRNA from 2 species